rnacentral:rRNA from 1 species
UGGGGAAUAUUGCACAAUGGGGGGAACUCUGAUGCAGCGACGCCGCGUGAGUGAUGAAGGACUUCGUUUCGUAAAACUCUGUUCUAUGGGAAGAAAAGGACUGUACCAUAGGAGAAAGCUCCGGCUAAAUACGUGCCAGCAGCCGCGGUAAUACGUAUGGAGCGAGCGUUGUCCGGAAUUAUUGGGCGUAAAGGGUGGGCAGGCGGCUUUACAAGUUGGAUGUGAAAUAUUGUGGCUCAACCACAAACGUGCAUCCAAAACUGCAAAGCUUGAGUUAAGGAGAGGUAAGUGGAAUUCCUGGUGUAGCGGUGGAAUGCGUAGAUAUCAGGAGGAAUACCGGUGGCGAAGGCGACUUACUGGACUUAAACUGACGCUCAGGCACGAAAGCGUGGGGAGCAAACAGG